rnacentral:tRNA from 131 species
GGGGUGGUAACUCAGUUGGUUAGAGUAUCUGACUUUUAAUCAGAGAGUCGAGGGUUCGAGUCCCUCCCACCCUACCA